UGAGUGACCUAGAAUAAAAGGAAAGAAUUUUUUUGAAAAAAAGAGAGAGAGAGAGCAGGAAUAUAGAUGUUAUGCUAGGACGAAAUUGUAUUUACCUUGAUUGAAAACUCUUUUAUUAUGAACAUAAUUUAGAUCAGAAUGGAAAAGAGAACUAUUGGGCUCCCUGCCUGGCUGCAAGUGUUGCUGAGCACACAGCCGCUACAAUAAUCUGUCAGGGCUGCUGCUGAUGCCUGCUGACGUUACCAUGAAGGCUGCUGCCACCCAAAGAAACUGGACCAGAAUGAUAGCACUGGGCUCCACUCAGGAAUACAAGUCCUAAGAUAUUGACGAGCAAGCUGUACCGCAGUGGGGUGAGGGUUGGAAGAGGGAAGGCUCCAGAGCCCGGGCUUCAUUCUCUCAUGUGAAGAAACGACAGGGAGAGGACACUCUUGGAAACUCUCCACCUCCCUCACUCUCCUCUAAGAAAGAGGGUUGCUUUAUCUCGUUGACAAAUUUAGAAGCAAACACUGGGCAUGAGCAGCUCAACUCCUGCCCAUAUAGGACUCGCUCUGGUGCAUUCUCCACAUCCAAAGCUUAAUGGCACAGACUCUGUCCCUGCAACGGGAGCCUAUGGCACUGCCUGUGAUUGGGGGUGAGGUUGUCUAUUCUGAGAUUCAAGAUGGAAGCCUCCAUUGCCCCUCCUAAGCCAUGCUUUCCAGCAUUGUAAUAAAACUGGAUGUUUUU